UUCGAUUCGAGCGUCAGCGAGAAAGCGUUGCCGCAGGCAACGACCCGAAGGGCGAAGCGCGCAGCGCUGAGUCAUCCUUCCCCCACCACCA
rnacentral:sRNA from 8 species